GAUGAAGAACGCAGCGAAAUGCGAUAAGUAAUGUGAAUUGCAGAAUUCAGUGAAUCAUCGAAUCUUUGAACGCACAUUGCGACCAUUAGUAUUCUAGUGGGCAUGCCUGUUCGAGCGUCAUUUCAACCCUUAAGCCUAGCUUAGUAUUGGGAAUCGACUUUACUGUCGUUCCUCAAAUUCAACGGCGGAUUUAUAGCAAUCUCUGAACGUAGUAAUUUUUUUCCUCGUUUUUGAAAUACUAUAAACCUCAGCCGCUAAACCCCCAAUUUUUCUAUGGUUGACCUCGGAUCAGGUAGGAAUACCCGCUGAACUUAAGCAUAUCAAUAAGCGGAGGA
rnacentral:misc_RNA from 1 species